UGCCUUGAGCUGAGGGACUCUUGGAUCUGAUCCAGUAGAGAACGAUCCUUCAGUUCAUUCAGACAGUGGAUCAGAUUGAUGUUUCUCGCUGCAGACAGAUUCUCAUCGAGCUUCUUCUUGAUGAACCAGACUGUUUCCUGAUUGGUCUCUGAGAU